GCCGGGGUGGCGGAACGGGUAGACGCGGCGGACUUAAAAUCCGCUGGGCCUUCGCGGCCCGUCUGGGUUCGAGUCCCAGCCCCGGCA
rnacentral:tRNA from 1 species